UACGUAGGUGGCAAGCGUUGUCCGGAUUUACUGGGCGUAAAGCGCGCGUAGGCGGGCAUUUAAGUCAGGGGUGAAAUCCCAGGGCUCAACCCUGGAACGGCCUUUGAUACUGGAUGCCUGGAGAUCGGGAGAGGUUGGUGGAAUUCCGAGUGUAGAGGUGAAAUUCGUAGAUAUUCGGAGGAACACCAGAAGCGAAGGCGGCCAACUGGCCCGAUACUGACGCUGAGGCGCGAAAGCGUGGGGAGCAAACAGG
rnacentral:rRNA from 1 species